rnacentral:rRNA from 1 species
GAAAGUAAACAAGGGCGCAUGGCGGAUGCCUUGGCUCUCGGAGGCGAUGAAGGACGUGAUAAGCUGCGAUAAGCUCCGGGGAGGUGCAAAUAACCUUUGAUCCGGGGAUUUCCGAAUGGGACAACCCGGCGUGUUGAAGACACGCCACCUGAUCAUUUCAGGAGCUAACGCAGGGAACUGAAACAUCUUAGUACCUGCAGGAAAAGAAAAUAACAAUGAUUCCCCCAGUAGUGGCGAGCGAACGGGGAAUAGCCCAAACCGUUCAUGUUACGGCAUGAUCGGGGUUGUAGGACUACGUCGUUGCAUGAAGACAUCGGAGAAGAACUUUCUGGAAAGAAAGACCAUAGAGCAUGACAGUUGCGUAUUCGUAUGUUGUCGAAGCAUAGUAGUAUCCUGAGUAGCGCGGAGCACGAGGAAUUCUGCGUGAAUCUGCCGGGACCAUCCGGUAAGGCUAAAUACUCCCGAGAGACCGAUAGCGAACCAGUACCGUGAGGGAAAGGUGAAAAGCACUUCGAACAGAAGAGUGAAAUAGUUCCUGAAACCGUGCGCCUACAAGCGGUCGGAGCUCGUUAAUGAGUGACGGCGUGCCUUUUGCAUAAUGAACCUACGAGUUGCCUUUGCCGGCAAGGUUAAGUGUGACGACACACGUAUCCGAAGCGAAAGCGAGUCUGAAUAGGGCGUAUAGUCGGCAGUGGCAGACGCGAAACCAAGUGAUCUACCCUUGGCCAGGUUGAAGGCUGGGUAACACCAGCUGGAGGACCGCACCAAUAAGCGUUGAAAAGCUUCUGGAUGAGCUGAGGGUAGGGGUGAAAGGCUAAUCAAACUUGGAGAUAGCUCGUACUCCCCGAAAUGCAUUUAGGUGCAGCCUUGUGGGUUACUGAUGUGAGGUAGAGCGACUGAUAAGAUGCGAGGGCUUCACCGCCUAUCAAGUCUUGACAAACUCCGAAUGCGCAUCAGUUUUACCUCAGGAGUGAGGGCAUGGGUGCUAAGGUCCGUGCCCGAGAGGAGAAGAAUCCGGACCACCUGCUAAGGUCCCGAAAUGACAGCUAAGUUAAACUAACGAAGUCUGACUGCUAAGACAGCUAGGAUGUUGGCUUGGAAGCAGCCAUUCAUUUAAAGAGUGCGUAACAGCUCACUAGUCGAGGAGUCUGGCGUGGAUAAUAAUCGGGUAUUAAGUUGUCUACCGAAGCAGUGGGAUCAUUGAAAUGAUCGGUAGGGGAGCAUUCCAGUCAGCGUCGAAGGCGUACCGCGAGGUAUUCUGGAGCGUCUGGAAAAGCAAAUGUAGGUAUAAGUAACGAUAAAGGGGGCGGGAAACCCCCUCGCCGAAAGACUAAGGUUUCCUGAUCAACGCUAAUCGGAUCAGGGUCAGUCGGGUCCUAAGGCUCAGCCGAACGGCGAUGCCGAUGGCAGAAACGGUUAAUAUUCCGUUACUACCUUCAGGAGUGACGUGGAGACGCAGUAGUGACAGUGCCGCCAUCUGACGGAAUAGAUGGUUGAAGGGUGUAGGAGUCGAUCAUGGCAGGCAAAUCCACCAUGAGAUCCGAACCUGACAGUAUGCCGCGUCCUUCGGGACAAGGCAAUAGUGCGCGUAAGCAUGCUGCCGAGAAAAUCCGCUAAACUUAAUCCUGCAGGUACCCGUACCGCAAACGGACACACGUAGUCGGGAUGAAUAUUCUAAGGCGCUUGAGUGAUUCACGGUUAAGGAACUAGGCAAACUGACCCUGUAACUUCGGGAUAAAGGGUCCCUACCCUUUUAUGGGAGGGCGCAGAGAAUCGGUCCAGGCAACUGUUUAACAAAAACACAGGGCUGUGCCAAAUCGAAAGAUCCAGUAUACAGCCUGACACCUGCCCGGUGCUGGAAGGUUAAGAGGAGAUGUCAUCGAUAAGAGAAGCGUUGAAUUGAAGCCCCAGUAAACGGCGGCCGUAACUAUAACGGUCCUAAGGUAGCGAAAUUCCUUGUCGGGUAAG